AAAACAUGUCUUUUUGAAAAUAAUAUAAAGUCUAAUCUGCCCACUGAUUUAAAAUUGAAGGGCUGCAGUAUAUUGACUGUACAAAGGUAGCAUAAUCAUUAGUCAUUUAAUUGAUGACUUGUAUGAAAGAUUGAAUGAGAUAUAUACUGUCUCUAAUUUAAUUAUAAAAUUUAAUUUUUUUAUUAAAAAGUUAAGAUAUAUUAAAAAGACGAGAAGACCCUAUAGAGUUUAAUUGAUUAUUAAUUUGAUUUUAUUUUGAAAAAUAAUAAUGAAAUUUAAUAGUUUAUUUUAUUGGGGUGAUAAAAAAAUAAAUAAAACUUUUUUUAAUAAAAAACAUUUAUAAGUGGAUAAAUGAUCCAAUAAUAUUGAUUAUAAGAAAAAAUUACCUUAGGGAUAACAGCGUAAUUUUUUUUUUUAGUUCAAAUAAGAAAAAAAGUUUGCGACCUCGAUGUUGGAUUAAGAUAAAAUUUAAAUGUAGAAGUUUAAAAUUUUGAUCUGUUCGAUCAUUAAAAUCUUACAUGAUCU
rnacentral:rRNA from 1 species